CAGGGGGUCGCCACGCGCGGCUCCUCGGGCGGCGCGCGGCAGCCAGACUCACGCGCCGCAGCCGCAGGAGGAGGACGCGGUCCGCGCCGCACUCUGCCUGUUGAGACUUCUCCUCCCGGCCGACUACCAACCGUCCGCCCGCUGCUUCCCCUCGACCCGGCUACCACCGCCCCCAACCCCCCACCCCCCUCUACGGUCCCUCCCCGUGCUAUGACGCUGGGGUGGGAAGGAAGCUCGGACACAACUGGAUCGGCGACCCUUCGGUGGACACAGCAGUGGCGGCUGGAAUGUUGUGCCGGUAGCCUCUGCAAUCGAUAUCUACCUCUCACUCAUCUCCAGCUCAACGUGUGCCGCUUCUGCUUGUGUAAAAGGCUGCCAGCCUUGUUCUCAACCCAAAGGAUCUGCACACUGUAUAAAGUUGCAGAACUCCUCAAAGAAAAUCACACAACUGCAAAAUGAAGUUUAAUUUGACUUUAUUAGCGCCCAACCCCCCCCAGUCCCUCCUCAGCUCAUCCAGAAUGCAGCAGCUCAACUGGUCUUUAACCUUCCAAAAUUCUCCCACACUACCCCACUCCUCCACUCUCUUCCCUGGCUACCGGUGGCUGCCCGCAUCCAGUUCGGUGAAUGGAUCGGGUCCAGUCUACGUCCAGGACGUGGCCAAACCCGACAUCCCAACCCGCACACUCCGCUCUGCAUCUGCCAAACUGCUCGUCCCUCCCUCACUGAGAGCAAAACACUCGACUAGAUCACGACUCUUUGCUGUCCUUGCUCCGAAAUGGUGGAACGAGCUCUCUGAAGACACCAGGACCGCAGAGAGCCUUCACAUCUUCCGCCGCAAACUAAAGACACACUUCUUCAGACUCUACCUCGACUAAAAAACACAAAACAAAUUGUAGCACUUGAAUUGUAUUUAUAAUGGCUUCUAGCAGUUGUAAAUCGGCUUAUUUGAUGAAAUUGCACUUUCUUCCUUCUGGGUUUGUAUCCUCAUGCACUUAUUGAAAGUCGCAUUGGAUAAAAGCGUCAGGUAAAUAACAU
ensembl:lncRNA